AAUCUAUUGCGGGUCAGAAAAUCCAUACUCACUUUGAGAGCUUUGUGUUGAGCUUAGUGUACCUUUCCACUCCACAUGGCAUUUCAUUUACUUCCCAAAGGAAAGCUUUCCACAUGCCUAAUGUUUUUCUAUUAGCAGCACUAUGCUUUUUUUCAGUGUAACAUAGGCACAACAAUCAGGAUUCAUUUUAUCCAGCUUCUAAAAAUUAUGUAUUCACAUCUGAUCCGUGCACCUCUAGGUAUUUUUCUUGUCUAUAGAAAGAAAGGUGUUUGUUUAAGGCAUGCUUUAUCCUAGUUCAAAAGCAGGAUCUAAGCUAGGUCAGAAAAACCACCAUACGAGUCUAUCUGCAAUACAGAGGCAUAAGCUGAUUAACUCGAAUAUAGACACCUGCCUUUAUACCAACUGUUUAUACUUAUAUCCCAAAUGAUAGCCCCUAAUCUGUGGGAGCUACCUUGAUGCAAAAUGCAGGUGUCUGCCAUUGAAAUCUGUGUCAAUCUGCAGCAGCUGAGAGCCUACUGCAAUCCUUCUUAACAAAUUAACCAUAGCCCUUCUGCAUGCUAUGAAAUCAUCCCCCUUUUCAGAUGAAGAAAAUGUAAAGAUUGAUGUGUUAAGUAAUAUCCAUACAUUGAGAAAAAUGGAAGGGAGAGCUGUUACUGAAUACAAUGUGCAUACCACAUUUCAAAGUCCAGAUAUUCUCACUAGAGAAAUCAGUAAACCAAAUUACUUCCUCUUAAGGUGUUUUAUGGCUCCAAUCAAGCUACUCAUGUAUGCAAAGGUGCUGGGGGUUGCAAUCAGUCCAUGUGACCAUCAAAAGUCUGUGAACAAUCAUAGUCUGGUUAUUAGAGAGUGGAAGAGGCUUGCCAAAAGAAAGUUCCCUGUGUGGUAUUGUGGAGGUGGCCUGGGAAGAAAAGCAAGAUGUGAACAAGGAGUAAUGCGAGCAGAGAUUGUGAACUGACUGAUGGCCUUCAGUUUCCCUUCUAACUAACAAGAAAAUUUCGGGCAGUCUUGCCGUGGAAGAGGAGUGUGCUCUGCUAGAGAAAUAAAGGCUCUACAGCCAUCA
rnacentral:lncRNA from 1 species